rnacentral:tRNA from 1 species
GCCCCGUUAGCUCAGUGGUAGAGCGUUCGGCUUUUAACCGAACUGUCGUGGGUUCGACACCCACACGGGGCG